UACGUAGGGGGCAAGCGUUGUCCGGAAUCAUUGGGCGUAAAGAGCUCGUAGGCGGUUCAGUAAGUCAGGUGUGAAAUCUUUGGGCUUAACCCAAAGCGUGCACUUGAUACUGCUGUGACUUGAGUUCGGUAGGGGAGUGGGGAAUUCCUAGUGUAGCGGUGAAAUGCGCAGAUAUUAGGAGGAACACCGGUGGCGAAGGCGCCACUCUGGGCCGAAACUGACGCUGAGGAGCGAAAGCGUGGGUAGCAAACAGG
rnacentral:rRNA from 1 species